GUGAGGAAUAUUGCGCAAUGGAGGCAACUCUGACGCAGCCAUGCCGCGUGCAGGAAGAAGGCGCUACGCGUUGUAAACUGCUUUUAACCGGGAAGAAACCCCAGGACGUGUCCUGGGUUGACGGUACCGGAGGAAUAAGCACCGGCUAACUUCGUGCCAGCAGCCGCGGUAAUACGAAGGGUGCAAGCGUUAUCCGGAUUCAUUGGGUUUAAAGGGUGCGUAGGCGGAGCGUUAAGUCAGUGGUGAAAUCCUGCAGUUUAACUGUAGACUUGCCAUUGAUACUGGCGCUCUUGAGUGCGCUUGAAGUGGGCGGAAUGUGCCGUGUAGCGGUGAAAUGCUUAGAUAUGGCACAGAACACCAAUUGCGAAGGCAGCUCACUAAGGCGAUACUGACGCUGAGGCACGAAAGCGUGGGGAUCGAACAGGAUUAGAUACCCGUGUAGUCC
rnacentral:rRNA from 1 species